rnacentral:rRNA from 1 species
AAACGAUCCUAGCUUGCUAGGAGGCGUCGAGCGGCGGACGGGUGAGUAACGCGUGAGAAUCUACCCAUGAGUGGGGGACAACCCGGGGAAACUCGGGCUAAUACCGCAUACGCCCUACGGGGUAAAGCAGGGGACCUUCGGGCCUUGCGCUGAUGGAUGAGCUCGCGUCGGAUUAGCUUGUUGGUGAGGUAAAGGCUCACCAAGGCGACGAUCCGUAGCUGGUCUGAGAGGAUGAUCAGCCACACCGGGACUGAGACACGGCCCGGACUCCUACGGGAGGCAGCAGUGGGGAAUCUUGGACAAUGGGGGCAACCCUGAUCCAGCCAUGCCGCGUGUGUGAAGAAGGCCUUCGGGUUGUAAAGCACUUUCAGCAGGGAGGAAGGCUUACCCCUAAUACGGGUGAGUACUUGACGUUACCUGCAGAAGAAGCACCGGCUAAUUUCGUGCCAGCAGCCGCGGUAAUACGAAAGGUGCAAGCGUUAAUCGGAAUUACUGGGCGUAAAGCGCGCGUAGGCGGUGUGUUAAGUCGGAUGUGAAAGCCCAGGGCUCAACCUUGGAAUUGCAUCCGAUACUGGCACGCUAGAGUGCAGUAGAGGGAGGUGGAAUUUCCGGUGUAGCGGUGAAAUGCGUAGAGAUCGGAAGGAACACCAGUGGCGAAGGCGGCCUCCUGGACUGACACUGACGCUNAGGUGCGAAAGCGUGGGGAGCAAACAGGAUUAG